rnacentral:rRNA from 1 species
UACGUAGGUGGCGAGCGUUAUCCGGAAUGAUUGGGCGUAAAGGGUGCGUAGGCGGCCUGCUAAGUCUGGAGUGAAAGGUACCGGCUCAACCGGAGUAGUGCAUUGGGAACUGGGAGACUUGAGUGCAGAAGAGGAGAGUGGAACUCCAUGUGUAGCGGUGAAAUGCGUAGAUAUAUGGAAGAACACCAGUGGCGAAAGCGGCUCUCUGGUCUGUAACUGACGCUGAGGUUCGAAAGCGUGGGUAGCAAACAGG